GCGCUGCUGACGAGUCUUAAACAGGGCGAAACAGCUGUCCAGUGC
rfam:Echinostoma caproni strain Egypt genome assembly, scaffold: ECPE_scaffold0000187